rnacentral:rRNA from 1 species
UACGUAGGGAGCAAGCGUUAUCCGGAUUUACUGGGUGUAAAGGGCGUGUAGGCGGGAUGGCAAGUCAGAUGUGAAAACUAUGGGCUCAACCCAUAGCCUGCAUUUGAAACUGUCGUUCUUGAGUGAUGGAGAGGCAAGCGGAAUUCCGUGUGUAGCGGUGAAAUGCGUAGAUAUACGGAGGAACACCAGUGGCGAAGGCGGCUUGCUGGACAUUAACUGACGCUGAGGCGCGAAAGCGUGGGGAGCAAACAGG